GCGGUUAAAAAGCUCGUAGUUGGAUGUCGGCGGUGGCGGGCCGGUUCACUGUUUGGUGCGACUGGUCCUGUUCCACCGUGUUCUGGGCGGAGGCGCGCGGGUGCUCUUAACCAAGUGUCCGCGCGCGCYGCCCGUUUUACCUUGARAAAAUCAGAGUGCUCAAGGCAGGCUUGACACGCCCGGAYGUUUGCGCAUGGAAUAAUGGAAUAGGACGUCGUUUCUAUUCURUUGGUUUUCGGAAAUCGACGUAAUGAUUGAUAGGGACAGUCGGGGGCGUUCGUAUUCANNACGCUAGAGGUGAAAUUCUUGGACCGUCUGAAGACGCAYUACUGCGAAAGCAUUCGCCAAGAAUGUUUU
rnacentral:rRNA from 1 species